CAUUUUCUCUGUUGGCAACUUUGAUUCUUAUAUU
rnacentral:sRNA from 1 species